AGCUGACCAGGAAGGUUCCACUUGAUCCUGGGCACCCGUUCUGGGUACAGCAUAGGCUAUUGGCCAACACAUGCUCAGCUGUGCCAAAGAUGAGAGGAGCAGGGCAUGUGCCUCGGGCAGCUCUGGUAGUUUCAUUAAGAUUCCUGUUUGCUGGGUAUGUCGUGGGGAAGCUGAUCAUGGUGUUCCCACCACCACGGCUAGCUGGGAAAGCCUUGUCUCACCUACCUCCAUCUCCUGCUUCCUGGGCACCUGCUUGCGGGAGAGAGAGAGAGCAAUUCAGGUAUGCCACAAGGGGAACUUACCUGCCUAAAUGCAGGUUUGUCAAGAAUUCUUGUCCAGCCAGAAAAAAUCUUGUCAGGCUGAAGCGAAGUGAUACAUGAUUUUUUUUUUUAAAGUCUGCUUUAAAUUUCUCGUGGCUUCCAAAAAAGCGGCUAGCAUACUUCCAUAUGGGAUAAACUGGUAUUCCAUUAGAUUAACUCAUGCAACAUUUUCUGAGAACCUACUGUGCCCCAGGUACCAGAGAUGCCACAAUGAGUAAAACCUACCCCACCAGGCUGUGCCAUGUGGCCAGAAGAGCCCAGAUGAGGAGGCUGUGGGUCUCUCCAGUAGCAGGUGUGGGGUCAGGCUCGUGGUCAUCUUAGCCUCUUCCAGUCCUGCUUGUCUGGAGUCUGUGUGAUGUAGGGGCAAGAGCACUGAGAGGACGUUGAAGGCCCUGGAUUCUGUCUCUUGUUUGUCCUUCACCCGCUGAAUGUCUGACAAAUGGUUUCUUCAUCUGUAAAUGAGAGAGCCACACUAAUUAAAGGUCUGGAAGGGCCCUUGAGGACACACAUUCCAUGUUCUGUGAUCCCCACUUCUCUGUGUGUGUUUUCUCUUUUUUCUCUCAGCACACUGGGGCCAGACACUGCCGCUACAUGUGGUGGAACCAAGUGACAGAGGGGGAGUAAGCGGAGGCUGGAAUUUCUCCCUCUGUUGGCUCUCCCUGACCACCUGCCUGCUUAGCCUCUCCUCUUCCCCCAGUGAAAGUGCUGCAGCAAUCUCGGCCUUUGGCACUCUCCUCAGGAAUUUAUGAAGCUUGUGAUGUGAAUGAUGGAGCCAGCUAAGCCUCCUCUGCACUGACAGCUCAGCACAAUGACCUGUUGGGUGAUGAAAGAAAUGCCAGGUGCUUCAGUUUUCUGUUCCACCGAGUGGAUGUGUCCCCCGCCUCUGUCUCUCAGCUUCUGGAGGAAUUGAAGCCUGUGACAUGUUUCGUUCCCAGAUGCUUCUUGCAGCCUCUACCCGACACUGCUUAUGGAAGCUGAGGCUCAGAGAGGGCUCUGGAAUAUUUCAGCCGCUUACAUGUAGCCAUUUUGGUGUGGUUGUGUCAAAAUGACUUUGCCCAGAUGCAAAACCACUGGUAACUUAAACUUCUUUUUUAAGUAGUAUCUCCCAGGGAUCUCUGUAAGCCAUGUCACCCCCACCUGGUCUCUCCCUUUCCUCUUCCUCAACCCUGCCCUGACCCUGACUUACCCAACCCCUGCUUGAUCUUCAUGUGAUGAUGAGGCAGGUGUGGGGAAGAAGAAAGUAUUUGCAUAUUACUUGGUAAUUUUUCAGGAGGUAAAUGUUGGAUGCAUGUGCCUGCUGUUGUUUUGGUUUUAGG
rnacentral:lncRNA from 10 species